AAUGUGUCAAGUGUGAGUAGUGUGGAUAAUAGUUCCACAUUGGUUGAUAAUAUGGACACUUGAGCAUUUAUAAGUGAGAGAACCCACACACCUAUCACCUUAAGGUUUUGGGUGAAUAUGUGGUGUGUUUCUCACAGGUGGCAUGCAAAUGGACAUACUCCAAAUUCAAUCAAUAAUUAAUCACAAAACAUCUCUAACAAAAAAAUUAUUUUAUUUUGCAUUUUUCAAAUGAUUUUGAUCACUAAAUUUUAG
rnacentral:lncRNA from 1 species